AGCGUACACGGUGGAUGCCCUGGCAGUCAGAGGCGAUGAAGGACGUGCUAAUCUGCGAUAAGCGUCGGUAAGGUGAUAUGAACCGUUAUAACCGGCGAUUUCCGAAUGGGGAAACCCAGUGUGAUUCGUCACACUAUCAUUAACUGAAUCCAUAGGUUAAUGAGGCGAACCGGGGGAACUGAAACAUCUAAGUACCCCGAGGAAAAGAAAUCAACCGAGAUUCCCCCAGUAGCGGCGAGCGAACGGGGAGCAGCCCAGAGCCUGAAUCAGUGUGUGUGUUAGUGGAAGCGUCUGGAAAGGCGCGCGAUACAGGGUGACAGCCCCGUACACAAAAAUGCACAUGCUGUGAGCUCGAUGAGUAGGGCGGGACACGUGGUAUCCUGUCUGAAUAUGGGGGGACCAUCCUCCAAGGCUAAAUACUCCUGACUGACCGAUAGUGAACCAGUACCGUGAGGGAAAGGCGAAAAGAACCCCGGCGAGGGGAGUGAAAAAGAACCUGAAACCGUGUACGUACAAGCAGUGGGAGCACGCUUAGGCGUGUGACUGCGUACCUUUUGUAUAAUGGGUCAGCGACUUAUAUUCUGUAGCAAGGUUAACCGAAUAGGGGAGCCGAAGGGAAACCGAGUCUUAACUGGGCGUUAAGUUGCAGGGUAUAGACCCGAAACCCGGUGAUCUAGCCAUGGGCAGGUUGAAGGUUGGGUAACACUAACUGGAGGACCGAACCGACUAAUGUUGAAAAAUUAGCGGAUGACUUGUGGCUGGGGGUGAAAGGCCAAUCAAACCGGGAGAUAGCUGGUUCUCCCCGAAAGCUAUUUAGGUAGCGCCUCGUGAAUUCAUCUCCGGGGGUAGAGCACUGUUUCGGCAAGGGGGUCAUCCCGACUUACCAACCCGAUGCAAACUGCGAAUACCGGAGAAUGUUAUCACGGGAGACACACGGCGGGUGCUAACGUCCGUCGUGAAGAGGGAAACAACCCAGACCGCCAGCUAAGGUCCCAAAGUCAUGGUUAAGUGGGAAACGAUGUGGGAAGGCCCAGACAGCCAGGAUGUUGGCUUAGAAGCAGCCAUCAUUUAAAGAAAGCGUAAUAGCUCACUGGUCGAGUCGGCCUGCGCGGAAGAUGUAACGGGGCUAAACCAUGCACCGAAGCUGCGGCAGCGACACUAUGUGUUGUUGGGUAGGGGAGCGUUCUGUAAGCCUGUGAAGGUGUGCUGUGAGGCAUGCUGGAGGUAUCAGAAGUGCGAAUGCUGACAUAAGUAACGAUAAAGCGGGUGAAAAGCCCGCUCGCCGGAAGACCAAGGGUUCCUGUCCAACGUUAAUCGGGGCAGGGUGAGUCGACCCCUAAGGCGAGGCCGAAAGGCGUAGUCGAUGGGAAACAGGUUAAUAUUCCUGUACUUGGUGUUACUGCGAAGGGGGGACGGAGAAGGCUAUGUUGGCCGGGCGACGGUUGUCCCGGUUUAAGCGUGUAGGCUGGUUUUCCAGGCAAAUCCGGAAAAUCAAGGCUGAGGCGUGAUGACGAGGCACUACGGUGCUGAAGCAACAAAUGCCCUGCUUCCAGGAAAAGCCUCUAAGCAUCAGGUAACAUCAAAUCGUACCCCAAACCGACACAGGUGGUCAGGUAGAGAAUACCAAGGCGCUUGAGAGAACUCGGGUGAAGGAACUAGGCAAAAUGGUGCCGUAACUUCGGGAGAAGGCACGCUGAUAUGUAGGUGAAGCGACUUGCUCGUGGAGCUGAAAUCAGUCGAAGAUACCAGCUGGCUGCAACUGUUUAUUAAAAACACAGCACUGUGCAAACACGAAAGUGGACGUAUACGGUGUGACGCCUGCCCGGUGCCGGAAGGUUAAUUGAUGGGGUCAGCGCAAGCGAAGCUCUUGAUCGAAGCCCCGGUAAACGGCGGCCGUAACUAUAACGGUCCUAAGGUAGCGAAAUUCCUUGUCGGGUAAGUUCCGACCUGCACGAAUGGCGUAAUGAUGGCCAGGCUGUCUCCACCCGAGACUCAGUGAAAUUGAACUCGCUGUGAAGAUGCAGUGUACCCGCGGCAAGACGGAAAGACCCCGUGAACCUUUACUAUAGCUUGACACUGAACAUUGAGCCUUGAUGUGUAGGAUAGGUGGGAGGCUUUGAAGUGUGGACGCCAGUCUGCAUGGAGCCGACCUUGAAAUACCACCCUUUAAUGUUUGAUGUUCUAACGUUGACCCGUAAUCCGGGUUGCGGACAGUGUCUGGUGGGUAGUUUGACUGGGGCGGUCUCCUCCUAAAGAGUAACGGAGGAGCACGAAGGUUGGCUAAUCCUGGUCGGACAUCAGGAGGUUAGUGCAAUGGCAUAAGCCAGCUUGACUGCGAGCGUGACGGCGCGAGCAGGUGCGAAAGCAGGUCAUAGUGAUCCGGUGGUUCUGAAUGGAAGGGCCAUCGCUCAACGGAUAAAAGGUACUCCGGGGAUAACAGGCUGAUACCGCCCAAGAGUUCAUAUCGACGGCGGUGUUUGGCACCUCGAUGUCGGCUCAUCACAUCCUGGGGCUGAAGUAGGUCCCAAGGGUAUGGCUGUUCGCCAUUUAAAGUGGUACGCGAGCUGGGUUUAGAACGUCGUGAGACAGUUCGGUCCCUAUCUGCCGUGGGCGCUGGAGAACUGAGGGGGGCUGCUCCUAGUACGAGAGGACCGGAGUGGACGCAUCACUGGUGUUCGGGUUGUCAUGCCAAUGGCACUGCCCGGUAGCUAAAUGCGGAAGAGAUAAGUGCUGAAAGCAUCUAAGCACGAAACUUGCCCCGAGAUGAGUUCUCCCUGACUCCUUGA
rnacentral:rRNA from 1 species